rnacentral:rRNA from 1 species
AGUGGCGGACGGGUGAGUAACGCGUGGGCAACCUACCCCACACAGGGGGACAACAGUUGGAAACGACUGCUAAUACCGCAUAGGCGCACAGCUUCGCAUGAAGCAGUGUGGAAAACCGAGGUGGUGUGGGAUGGGCCCGCGUCUGAUUAGCUGGUUGGCGGGGUAACGGCCCACCAAGGCGACGAUCAGUAGCCGGCCUGAGAGGGUGGACGGCCACAUUGGGACUGAGACACGGCCCAAACUCCUACGGGAGGCAGCAG